GUAAAGUUGGUACAUACACACUCACGUGUGUAGAACUUACAUAACACAGGUACCGCAAACGUCUUACUCCGAUUUAUUUUUGAAAAAUGGCUGGUAUUGCUCCUCAGGCGUGCAGAAAUGUGUUUCGACAAGUCAGAGGUUUCCAUAUCUCUGCAAAUCAAAAUGCUGAAGCCAGACUAAAAACCUUCUCUGUGUACCGUUGGAAUCCUGAUAAGCCAGAUGAAAAGCCCUAUAUGCAAGAGUAUAAAGUAGACCUAAACACUUGUGGUCCUAUGAUUUUGGAUGCAUUGAUUAAAAUUAAAAAUGAAAUUGAUCCAACUUUAACUUUCCGUCGUUCCUGUCGUGAAGGCAUUUGUGGUUCUUGUGCUAUGAAUAUUGGUGGUACAAACACAUUAGCAUGUAUCAGCAAAAUUGAUACUAAUUUAAAUACAGUUAGUAAGAUCUAUCCUUUACCACAUAUGUAUAUAGUGAAAGAUUUAAUCCCAGAUAUGAACAACUUUUAUACUCAAUAUAAAAGUAUACAGCCAUGGUUGCAACGUGGUGAGGGUAAAGAUACUGGGAAAAAGCAGUAUUUGCAAAGCGUUGAAGACCGUAAAAAAUUGGAUGGUCUCUAUGAGUGCAUCUUAUGUGCUUGCUGCAGUACUUCUUGCCCAUCAUAUUGGUGGAAUGGUGAUAAGUAUUUAGGACCUGCUGUGCUUAUGCAGGCAUAUAGAUGGAUCAUUGAUUCACGUGAUAACAAAACAGCUGAACGUCUCGAAAAGUUAAAAGAUCCUUAUUCAGUAUAUCGUUGCCAUACUAUUAUGAAUUGUACUCGUACUUGUCCAAAGGGCUUGAAUCCUGGGAAAGCAAUUGCUGAAAUAAAGAAAUUGCUAGCUAAUAUUAGUCAAAAAGAGAAACCAGGCCUUGAUGCUACUGCAUAAUUAUGUAGAAUAAAAUGAAGAAUAGAGAAUUACUAUUCAUAAUGUCUUUUACUACGAGUAAAACUUAAUUCCCCAAUAAUAUAGCGAUGACGUAUUAUUGCUAAUGCAAAUUUCUUAAAACAUUCAAUAGUUUUUUAAUUAGUAGCACAUUUGUUGGAUAUGUAUUUUACCCUGCUUUUAGUAUAAAAGCAGGGAUAAACAUGACAGUUUCUAAUUCGAAGUAAAUUUUAAUAUUGUUAAAAACAGAUGCGUAUACGACACUAGAAACUCGUACAUUAUAAUAAAAUUAGAAUAAAUCAUGCAUUCGUAAGAUAUGUCAGAGAAUAAGAGUCUUAAAUUUUCAAAGAUUCAAUUUUUGCAUAAGAAACGCAUCAGAUGCAUGAUAUGCUGAAUUGAGAACUAUCUACAAAUAUUUCAAAAUUGUUAAAGAUUAAAAGUGCAUUGCAUUAUAAUGAGAUCUAUGGUUCAGCAGCCAUUCUACUUCUUGCUGUUUCCCUUGACCGAUUGUGGACCUCUGCUGUUCGUAGCGUAAUACCAAAUAUAUCUUCGUG